rnacentral:tRNA from 1 species
GGAGAGAUGGCCGAGUGGUCGAAGGCGCACGCCUGGAAAGUGUGUAUACCUUAGGGUAUCGAGGGUUCGAAUCCCUCUCUCUCCACCA